rnacentral:rRNA from 1 species
GCGAACGCUGGCGGCAUGCCUCACACAUGCCAGUCGCACGGGGGGGCUUCGGCCUCCCAGUGGCGACGGGUGCGGAACGCGUAGGGACCUGUCGAGGGGUGGGGGAUAACCGCGGGAAACUGCGGCUAAUACCGCAUGACGCCGCGGCGUGACAGCCGGGGCCAAAGGCGAAAGCCGCCCGCCGAGGGGCCUGCGUCCGAUUAGCUGGUUGGCGGGGUAGCGGCCCACCAAGGCGUCGAUCGGUAGCUGGUCUGAGAGGGUGAUCAGCCACACCGGGACUGAGACACGGCCCGGACUCCUACGGGAGGCAGCAGUGGGGAAUAUUGGACAAUGGGCGCAAGCCUGAUCCAGCAAUGCCGCGUGGGUGAAGAAGGUCUUCGGAUUGUAAAGCCCUUUCGGCGGGGACGAUGGUGACGGUACCCGCAGAAGAAGCCCCGGCUAACUUCGUG